rnacentral:sRNA from 1 species
AUCACUCUUAAAUAAUAGAGUAUCGCAAUUUGAUUGCGGAAGCCUAGUAAAUCAAGGUUUAAUGAUUGCUUAGAGCGAUUUAGAGAAACUGAUAAAUUGAUUUGGUUUCCUGCUAAAAACCCUACCAAAGAUUUUUUGGCAGGGUUUUUAUU